CGAGAUAGUAGUAACAACGAAUAGUGAGAAGUCAGCAAAAGCCAUAGUAGUGAUGAAACCUCAGUAAUAGAGGUGGAACGAAGGGC
rnacentral:ncRNA from 1 species